rnacentral:SRP_RNA from 1 species
GCUGGGCGUGGUGGCGUGCGCCUGUAAUCUAGCUACUUGGAGGCCAGGGUGCGGGAUUUCGUGGGACCGGGAGUUCUGGCAUAUGGGUGCUCAUGUUGAUCGGGCGUCCACGCUAAGCACGGCGCCGAUAUGGAUGACCUGUCGGAGGGUGGGUUGUCCAGGUCGUCUAAGGAGGGGCGGACCGGCCCAGGGGGGAA